CAGCUACAAGGCUCACGGCGAUACCUUGGCACAAAGGCAUGAAGGACGGGUAACUUGCUUAAGUCCGGGACUGAACGCUUGAUCCGAAUU
rnacentral:rRNA from 1 species